AUGCGAGCGGUAAGAGUGCGGCGGGACUUGGAAAUCGAAUCUGUGCUCUGUGAGAGAUCCUAGGAAAGGAAACUGGGAGCCCGGGAGAACUAAAAUUCCCAAUUAAAAGUGAAUUUAAAUCUGAGCUGUUCUUAGACCCAGAAUUUCUUGCCUGAAGGAGGAGUCAGGUCCCCACAAGGAAAGACCCUGCAACUGUAUAAAAAAAGAAUCUAAAAAGAUCAUGACUCCUUCAGUCCUUUCCCAAAGAGACCUAUGGAAAUUUCCUCAGGAGCACCCACAACAGAAUAGACAUUAAACAGCUGCAUAAACAAAUGACUCAGCCAGUUGAUGUCAGUCAGCCUGUGUCAACAGCCACCCCAAUGCUGGCACAAAGGGCACUAGAACAGAAUAGCCUGAUGGCAGAGAUGAAGUGUGCAUGGCUCCAGCAGCACGGACUCCUCUCAUUAAGGCUGAUCUAGCUACUGUUGCUGCCCCAUGUCUAACUUGCCAGCAACGGAGACCAAAGUUGAGCCCCGGAAUCAGCACCAUUCCUCAUAGAGACCAGCUAGUCACUUGGUGGAAGAGGGACCAAGCAAAACCCCAGAAGAGUUGAUCUCAAAGCUUAUUUUAUGAAGAAAAUUGACCUGAGUGACACAAAGGGUUGGACUGUAGUAGAUGUCACGUUUUGCUGCCUAGAUCUCCAUCCAGGGAUGAACUCUUACUUCCUCAGCUUCUUUGUCUCCUCAGCUUCUGGGAGGGUUGGCAGCUGAUAUUCUCACCUGAGUCCCUUUCUAGGACUUGCCCUUGCCUGAAGAGAGCUGUGCUGCCCAACAUGAUGCCUCCUCCAAGGUACAAUCCACACCCAGUGACUAAUAAACAGGGGUUACAAAGGCAUGCCUGCUUGCCCCAGUUUGGGACAACUUUACCAGGCCAACCCAGCCUCAAGGCUCUCCGCAGGAACAGGUGAGGCCAUAGUUGUGAUUACAUCACAAGUCAGUUUCUCCUCUGCCCAAGCCUUCUUCCUUCAUUCCUCCACAGAUGCUGAUCCUGAGAUUCCUUUCCAGUAAACUUCCUCCAUGUAAUCUUCA